GGGGAAUCUUGCGCAAUGGGGGAAACCCUGACGCAGUGACGCCGCGUGAACGAUGAAGUCCUUCGGGAUGUAAAGUUCUGUCAGGCGGGAAGAACCUCCCCCCGAUGCAAAUCGGGGGGAAAUGACGGUACCGCCAGAGGAAGCACCGGCUAAUUCCGUGCCAGCAGCCGCGGUAAGACGGAGGGUGCAAGCGUUGUUCGGAAUUACUAGGCGUAAAGCGCGUGUAGGUGGUUAGUUAAGUCGGAUGUGAAAAUUCCAAGCUUAACUUGGAACGGGCAUUCGAAACUGGUUAACUUGAGUGUAGGAGAGGAGAGCGGAAUUCCUAGUGUAGCGGUGAAAUGCGUAGAUAUUAGGAAGAACACCGGUGGCGAAGGCGGCUCUCUGGCCUAAAACUGACACUGAGACGCGAAAGCGUGGGUAGCAAACAG
rnacentral:rRNA from 1 species